rnacentral:rRNA from 1 species
AUUGAACGCUAGCGGCAUGCCUAACACAUGCAAGUCGAACGGCAGCACGAGGAGCUUGCUCCUUGGUGGCGAGUGGCGGACGGGUGAGUAACGCGUAGGAAUCUACCUUAUAGUGGGGGAUAACCCGGGGAAACUCGGGCUAAUACCGCAUAAUCUCUACGGAGCAAAGUGGGGGACCUUUUAGGCCUCACGCUAUUAGCUGAGCCUGCGUCGGAUUAGCUAGUUGGUGGGGUAAUGGCCUACCAAGGCGACGAUCCGUAGCUGGUCUGAGAGGAAGACCAGCCACACUGGGACUGAGACACGGCCCAGACUCCUACGGGAGGCAGCAGUGGGGAAUAUUGGACAGUGGGCGCAAGCCUGAUUCAGCAGUGCCGCGUGUGUGAGGAAGGCCCUCGGGUUGUAAAGCACUUUUAGUGGGGAAGAAAAAGUCGGAGAUAAUAUCUCCGAAAAUUGACGUUACCCACAGAAAAAGCACUGGCUAACUCUGUGCCAGCCGCCGCCGUAA